GAGAGCCGUGCGCAUUGAAAGGUGCAAGCACGGUUCGGGGGAGGCUGGGGCGUACUCGAAAGAGGCGUUUCGCGCCGACCCUAC
rnacentral:ncRNA from 1 species